rnacentral:rRNA from 1 species
AGGGUUCGAUUCUGGCUCAGGAUGAACGCUGGCGGCGUGCCUAACACAUGCAAGUCGAGCGAUUACUUCGGUAAAGAGCGGCGGACGGGUGAGUAACGCGUGGGUAACCUGCCUCAUACACAUGGAUAACAUACCGAAAGGUAUGCUAAUACAGGAUAAUAUAAGAGAUUCACAUGGAUUUCUUAUCAAAGCUCCGGCGGUAUGAGAUGGACCCGCGUCUGAUUAGCUAGUUGGUAAGGUAAUGGCUUACCAAGGCGACGAUCAGUAGCCGACCUGAGAGGGUGAUCGGCCACAUUGGAACUGAGACACGGUCCAAACUCCUACGGGAGGCAGCAGUGGGGAAUAUUGCACAAUGGGCGAAAGCCUGAUGCAGCAACGCCGCGUGAGUAAUGAAGGCCUUCGGGUCGUAAAACUCUGUCCUCAAGGAAGAUAAUGACGGUACUUGAGGAGGAAGCCCCGGCUAACUACGUGCCAGCCGCAGC